UUUUUUUUUUUUUUUUUUUUUGGAGGUUGAGUUAAUCAUUAUCCUGUUUAUAACACGUUACUUUCAUUGUUCUUGCAAAGUGCUUUUUUACUUUAUUUCCUUUUUCUCUCCCUACUCCUCCUCGCCCCUCAUACAACCAUUCUGAUGGGUUUAACUGGUACCUCUUUUUUAUAUGCACUUACAGCAACAUGAGUAUAAUUUCAUGGGCAUGUAUUUUAAUUUGGGAAAAUGGUUUUAUACUGCAUCUCAUUUUUCUUACUUUUUUUUACUUGACACUAUGCCCUUAAGACGUAGUCAUGCUGAGAAACAUUCAUUUAAUCAAUUGCUUCUAAUGAAUGAACAAUACUCCUCUAUGUUCAUUCAACUAAAUUUGAACUAACUACUUUCCUAGUGAGGGACACUCAAAUUACCCCCAACUCCCUCUUACCAUCAAAAUAACCUUGUGUGAAUACCUUCUUAUGUCCUAUCAUGAUGUUUUACAUGUACAUACAUACACAUAUAUAUAUAUAUAUGUAUUUAUAUUGUGUGUGUGUGUGUGUGUAUAUACACACACAUAUAAAACAAAGACAUUUUCAUAUAUCUCCAAGAGUGUAGUUUUGCUGGGUCAUGGGGUAUAAGUGGCCCUAAUUUGAACAAGUGGUGUCAUAGGCUCUCCAAAAUGGCAGUAUCGGUCUUAUCUUCUAUUAGUAAUGCAUGAAGGUCCCCAAAGCCCAAGAAAUGCUGAGCAUAACUGAGCUCUUUAAAAUGCUACAGAUAUCAUUAUUUAAUUUGCAUCUCUCAACACUGGUGACUUAGAGUAUCUUUUCCAAUGUUUGAUGGCCUUUUGAGUUUCCUCCUCUUAAAUGCCUUUUCAAACCUCUGCCCAAAUUUUCUACAAAUAACUGCAUCACUUUAAAAAUAAUCUCCCGCCCCCAGUGAAAUCAGUUGAACAAGACAGGCAAGAGAGGCAACAAGAAAACCCACACAUGGGAACAGAUGGCAGCUAAUCCAUCUUCUGAAAAUGGCAGUGCCCCUGCAGUCCCCAGAGAAAUAAAGACCUUCACAACAGCAGUAGAAGGGACAGCAGCAAGGAAUUAGGCUAUGUGAAACAUACUCAUCCCCUGGGGUCCCUGCUCAGAGCAGAUGCUCAUUAAACACCAAUUCCCUUCCUUAUUUUAGAUUAUCACAACAAAUCUGUAAGAAGGAAAUCUAUGUAUUAUUCUUAUUCCCCUUUAAUGGAGAAAAAACUGCUUGGAUGAAGGCAUGAUGAGUUGCCUAAUGAGUGAGGGAGCUGAGGUGCUCUUUGCUUCUCCCUUCAUUUCUACCAGGAGUGUAAGCCUGAAAGCAGACAGCCUUGAUUUUCACCCCAGCUCCUCAACUUAUUAGCAUGUGGCAUUAGGCAAGUCAAGCCACUUCUCUGAACCUCAGUUUCACUCCAUCAAAUGGAGUAAUAAUGAUAACAUUUUUCUCAUGGCAUUGUACUGAGGAUUAAAUAAAUGAUUCUCUGUAAGCCAUGCAGAAUAGUGCCUGGCACCCAGUAAGUGCUUAGUGAGUGUUAGCUGCUGCUGCUGCUGCUAUUAUUAGUAUGAUUAAGCUUGUCCUUGGGGUAUGGACAUUGUACUAAAUUGACAUUAAAAACAGUCUUUUAUAUAUGCCCUCCAAUUACAAGGUUUUAAUAAUUCAUUUGGAAGGGCUAAAGGCCACAUAGCAUCUGAACAUUUUAAUCUGAACUAUUUUAUUUCAUUCUAAACAUUUCUCAUAAUAUACCUUUUUCCAACUCGGUUUUCAAAAAUAUCUUGAGGAGGCAAACAUUUUCCUUGAAAUUUUCUGGGGUGUUUUCCCCCAGAUCCUUACAUUUCCAGCAGCACAUUUGCAGGCUUCACUGACUAGUUAAAACAGAAUUGUUGAAAACAGGCUUCUAUACUAAGUAGGCUAGCACUUUUGUUCUCCUUUUACAAGAAUUAUCUUAUUCAUAUUUCUAUUCAUUGAAGUAACAAAGGAUGUCACCUAAAGAAGUAAAGCAGCUAGUGGUAGCUAUGUCCUGAAUAUAAGCAACCCUCACUUUUCUCAGCCUUAAAAUAUAAAAUGGAAGUGGGCAGCCAGGGAAUCAAAAUCAAGCAGGUGUGACAAAUACUAGGGUUAAGGAGCAACAGAAUGAGGGCUUCCUGGAAUCUAAAGUGGUCAGAAUUUAAUGAAUUACAAAAAUCCACACCACAAUGCAAAGAGAAGAACUAGGAACCCUAGUGUUUACCUCCUGGUUCGUUUACGUUAUAAUGAGCCAGGAUCUCCUGGCUAGUUGUGCUGCUUUUGUGGGACUCACAUUCCUUAUUGAAAGAUGAACAUGGGACAAAAUACCCUCUCUCUCCACAUUUCCUUCCAGUCCUAAAUUCUAGAACCUUAUAGUUUAUUCCUAGGUCUAGAUUUUUAAACAUUUCCUACAUGUUUAUAUGCAUACUACCUUUCCCAGAAAUUAUGUUAGUGGUGCAACAUUUAUCUCUUUGUAAUUUGAAUGCACACAUGAGAAUCCAGCUGCCACAUGUGAUUGUGAGAGAGAAACAGAACCUGUUGAAAAUGACCAGAUGCUCCUUCCAAAAACAUCAUUUUGACUAUGUUUUUCCCAGUCAUGCCUUCCUUGCAAAUGUAGGCUCUAAGAUGAGAAGCUACUUCUUUCUCCAUGUGGAUUUUCUCUUCUUCCCAAGUUGAACUGAAAAGGAUAAAACUCCCUGAGUCCCCCAGAAUUAACCAUCGCAAAUAUUCUGCAUGUAGGAUUUGCUGAGAAGUAUCUAAUAUGCAUGUCCAUAUCCUGAAAUCAAUAAAUGAGACCCUGGGAAAUGCCCUGAGAUCCAAAACUAAUGAGUAUAUGCAGUUCACCAAACAAUACAGAGCUACAUCAAUAGGCUCCUCUCUGGACCAUCAGAAAAAGAAAAUCACCAAGGAGAAAAUGAACAGCAUCCAGUCAUCAGUGACUCAGCCCCACUCAGCUUGGCUCAAAGGUAGUGGUGGGAUGGGGAUGGGGCAAGAAUAUGUCAUCUUAACAAGGCCAUUUGUGAUAUGGAAAUUUUUAUGUGGCCUAAAAAAGUUAACAUCUGUUUCAUGACACUGGAGGGGGACUUUACUCAUUACUUUAUGUUUUUUAAUAUUAUCUAAAAUUUUAUAAGAGAUAGGAAAGUAAGUAUGCAUAAAAGAGCCAUCUUCACACUCCCCUAAGCAAGUACUCCAUAACAAGGGAAACAGGGAAUCCUCUAAGAAUUGACUUGUAAAGUCAGUUGUGCUAUAAUGCCUGUUUGAAAACACAAAUUUGUUUCAGUGUAAUUGACAUACCAGGGAAAAAUUUGAGCAUAACGCAAAUUUUGUGUUUGCAUGUGAACAAUUUCAACCAUGAGAAAUUUGGCCACUAGGUGACUGCAGAAAACCACACAUAGCUGAACCAAAGGCUAUCCACAAAUGUGCGCAUACCCCUAACACCCACCAGCUACCUAGCUCACCCAUCCACAUUUGCUCUUACAAUUUCCCUUCAGAUUUCAAACAACUCUCCUUCCACCACUUACAAUAACUCAUAAGCUACAACCUUUCCAAUGCCCACUUUCACAAGAAAUUUCAAAAUAAAAACAAGUGAUUUUGUGUUUUCCCAGUCAUUUCAUUCCUGCGGGUACCUACAACCAAUUUUCCCUUCACCAUUCCUCCUGAAAUCCAGCUCCUUGUUCACUACAGCCUUCAAAGGUAGAUGCCAGAAUUUUUUUUCUUGGUUUGUUUUUCCUCCAUUGGAAAAGAGCUAUUUUUUUUUAGGAAAGGGAGAAAAAAGCAAACAAACAAACAAAAAUAAACCUGCACUGCUAUUAAUAUGGACAAAGUACAUGAGCUCUCACCACAGACACACUCUCAAAGCCCUCAGGAUUUGUUUUUAUUUUUCAACAGACUGGAUUUGUCAGUACAGACCUGCCAAUUGUCUCCCACCAGAACUAAACAAUACCCUAAAUCUUCUCCUUUAAUGGAGUAGUACUGGGGAGAAUGGGGGAGGGCAGAACAGCAAAGGCAGUUCAAACUCCAUCUAUGGAUGGCAGUCAAGGGCACAGAUAGAACUUAGUAUAAGUCUAUGACAACCAAAGAGACAUAUUUUCUUAGACUUAAUGUGAGGUAUGGAAGAAAAUGGAGUAAAAUGUAUUUCUUGCCCUGACCCUAAACUGCUCUAGGGUAACUUCAAAGAUGCAUAUGAGAAACUAUGAUAAAAAUAUACACAAAAUAAUAAAAAAUGAAGCAAAGGAGCAUGUGUGUAUGUAUAUACAAUCACAUAUAUAUGAAUAUAUACACAUAUAUAGGUAAGUCAUAAUUCAAACCCUAAUUAGAGUCUUGAUAAUCUUGGCUACAUAAAAAUGAGGAAAGAGCUCAAAAUGGAACCCAGGAGAAAGAGAGAUGUAGGUGAAGGAAAAUCAGGCACUGAAGCCAUAAUCCUGGGUUCAAAUACCAGUUUAGCCAUUUAUUUCCUGGGCAGGUAAUUCCACCUAGAGUUAUUUUCAAGAUUAAACAACAAUGUUCCUAAGGUCUCAGGGGGUCACAAGUUUUGUGGUAAAUCUGGUUUUAUAGUAUGUUCAGAAAUUCAGAUAGUUGGGUGUCCCAGAGUACUCAGUUCUGGGUCUGAAGGACAGGAUAUGAGCACACAUCCAUGACCCCCAGACCCAAGGGACAGUGGUCAGAGCCAAGCUGGCCCCAAAGAAGUUAGAGAAUUGAGAAAUCCACAGGGACAGUAGCCUGAUUUCUAAUCACUCUAGGUUGGGAGAACCUUUAGGACAGCAAUUCCCAAAAUGGCACCAGCAGCAUCUGCAUACCUGGAGACUUAGAAGUGUAAAUUAUUGGACCUUAUUUCAUAGUGACUGAAUAAGAAAAUAUGGGCUUAAGGGUUUGUAACUCAGUUUAAGAACCACACCCUUAGGAGAUAGAGUUUUGCUUCAGUAGGUUGAGGAGUCCGCAUCUGUUUUAAGUUAGAGUUUUGCAAAGGUCUGAUUUAAUAAAAGAAUCCCCCCAUCCCUCUGGCCCUGUUCCACUAUUUAGCAAAGAAUUCACACCACUCUCUGGCUAUUCUGGUCACCCAGCAACACUUGCCACCUCCUCAGGCCAUUAGAAGUAUGGGUCAAGUCUUGAUCCAAUCAAAAAUGUCACAAAUAUGCCAAUCAAAUGGCAUGACGAUUUGUGGACAGAAAGCAAUGAAGGAUGUAAUCCUCUUAGAAUUAAAGGAGUGUAGAAAAAGAAAAAAAAAAAAACCAAUUGGAGUGUGUAAAUAGGGCCCACAGUGGAAGGACUGAUGUCAAAAUACUCCCUUUCACAUAGCCAGCACCAACUACUUAUUUCUGUUUGUCAUCCUGUCUGCCUGUGUCUGAAAUUAGUGUUGCAUGCUCAAACAAGCAAGCUACUGUAUCUGGUGACCAGCCUCCCUGCUACCUCCCCUCCCCACACUCAAAUCAACUCCAGGAUCAUCAGAGUGUGAGUUUAUGUAGCACUUACAACAUCUAGGCCCCUUGAUUUUCUUCCUUGUCUUUAUCCACUUGCUCAUCUGAUUGUAUUUUCGCUAAUCUUCCAAAAGAUGGAUGAGGGGAAAAAGGCAAAACAAAAAAAGGUGGGCAAAAUAGCUUGGGGAAGAGACUUACAAUUAAAAUGGGAGCUAAAAUACAGGAUUUAUGAUGAAUUAGUGGAUUUCAUUAUCCUGUAGAGUUCUGUAAGGGGUGCUAUCUCUACUUACCAACCCUGAAAAGAAAAUCUGUAACAGCUACGAAUCACAAUUCCCAAGCAUCCUACUAUGCACUAAUGCUGCACCAAAACUAAGAUCAGUCUGAAUAGCAGAAAGAGGGCACAUCUUCUACAAGGUGUUAAGAUGAUAGUAAAAAAAUCACAAUUAAAAUUGCAAUUACUAAUUAGAAUAAAAAACACACUGAACAACACCUAUAGCAUGGACUCACUUACUGAUUUAUGUAUUAUUAAUACAUGCAAUGGCAGGUGGCAUUUCUAAUUUUUCCCACCACAACCUUUAUGAGUUUUAGAAAUAAAAUAAUUCAUAUACUUACAAGGGAAUACUCAUGUUAUAUAGUAAAUGAAGCAAAUGGAUAUACACUGUGACUGUUAACUGUGCAAAAGAUUCCAAGGAUAAUUUUUGGUUGUAAUAUUUAUCCUAUUCCCUUUAGAAAUAGUCAGCUUAUCACUCUAAACUCUCCCUAGAGAUACAUGGUACUCAAUUUUGAUGGAGAUAUCUCAUAAAAGGAAUCCUAAGUCACAGAGUACUGUAAUUAGAAUAAACCUUGGGGAUCAUCUAAUUCAACCCUCCCUCAUUUAAUGGGCAAAGAUAUUGAGGCUCUGGGGAUUCGAUAUUUGCCCAUGAUCAUGCAGCUUGUCAGAAGCAUGAUGGGACUAGCCCUUUCCUCUUCAGACUCUCUAAUACACUGUUCUUCCUGCUGUAUUAUUCUGCCUCUGAGCUUCAGGCAGAGCUAACUACCAGAGAUCUGACUCCACCAGAAGGCCGGAGAGUAUAGGCUCCAGAUAGAACUUUUUCUACUGCACAUUUUCCCUACGCCUGGGUUUAGCUGCAAUCUAAUCAUCACAUGCUU
rnacentral:lncRNA from 1 species